GAACCUUUUGAUCUUUUGGGGGGACAGGAAAUCAAAACCAAUCUCUUCCUUGCUUACUUCAGGGAACAGGGAGUGGAAGGAACGGAGUGAUGAUGAGAAAGAGACACUGAGGUGCAGAAAAACAAGAAAGUGGAUUUUUGCAAGAGCAGCAGCAAAAUCAAGGGAAGAUACACAACAAAAUGGACUCAGGUGCAAAACGGUGCAUGGAGAGGUUCAGGAUGAAGAGGCAGAGGAAGGGAUUUCCAUAGUGUGGAGCAUAACAUCUCUGUAAAAGCAGGGGAGGGACAGCUGGUUGGAUUCACCUCUAGCCCUGGGUACAAACCCUACCACCGCACUUUUCCCAAGGGACCAAGCUUUCCAUGUGGUGAGGGCCCCACGGUCUGCCCUAUUGACAGCUUUUCUCUCGGUGCCCCCAUAUCAGAUCUGUCCCAGCCACGUUCACUGAACACAUCAAGAGGUGGGUGGGAGCCACAGCCUCCACCCUCCAAGCCGCCUUCCAGAGCCUCCAGCAAGUAACAGCAAGCAGGAAUUUAGAAGCAGCUUUUCCUGACAACGGAAGUCAUAUUUUGUUUUGAAAACAUCCCUGUGCUUGUGGAAAAAGCUAAAAUAAAAACUCCAUGCCCA
rnacentral:lncRNA from 1 species